AUGUUGUUCAACAAUAGUACGAGCUUGUAUGAGAUUGUCCUUUCUUAUAACCAGUUAGGAGGUUCAAUUCCAGAUGUUUCCAGUAAUAUGAAUUCUCUUCGAACUCUCGUUCUUGAUUAUAAUCAACUUGAAGGAGGCAUUCCAAAAUUCUUUGGCAACAUGUGUGCUUUAGCGACUUUGUCUAUAGAGAAUAACAAACUGAGUGGACAACUGGCAGAGCUCAUCCAUAACUUGUCCGGGUCCUCAGUACAGUGGUUGCAUUUAGAUGGGAAUCAAUUGAAGGGGUCAGUGCCUAAAAGCAUCGGAAACCUAUCUAUGCUACGGAGUUUGCGUCUUGGUUCUAAUCUUUUGGAAGGUGAAAUCUCUGAACAACAUUUACCAAAUCUUUCUGAUUUAGAGACUUUGUCAUUAUCAAAUAAUUCUUUGACUUUAAAAUUCAACAAUGAUUGGGUUCCCUCUUUCCAAUUGCAGACCAUAGAUUUGUCAUCUUGUAACUUGGGUCCUGAUUUCCCAAAAUGGUUAAGUACUCAAAAUGACUUUUACCACCUCGAUAUCUCCAAUAACGGAAUUUCAGAUACCAUCCCUUCGUGGUUUUGGAAGCAAGCUUUGUUAUUAUUUUAUUUAAAUCUUUCCUACAACCAAAUUAGGGGCGGGUUGCCAAAUGUAUAUUGCUCAGAAGAUUAUAAUGACCCACAGGUAAUCUAUAAUCCUAGUCUGACCAUCUUAAAUCUCUCCAACAAUAAGUUUUCGAGGUUUUUCUUUUCUUUUCUAUGCUUGGAUUUAGUGAAAUUAUUGUUCUAUCUUGAUCUCUCAAACAACCAGCUAUUUGGAGCCCUCCCUGAUUGUUUCAUGCAAUGGCAAGCAGUAAUAGUUCUAAAUUUGGCCAGUAAUAAUUUUUUUGGAGAAAUUCCCAGGUCUUUGGGCUCUUUGAUAGAACUUAGGGUACUAGAUUUGAGCAACAAUAGCUUCUUGGGAAAAUUACCAGGGUCAUUACGAAAUUGCGCAAUGUUGUCAUUUUUAAAUCUGAGAGACAAUUCAUUUUCGGGAAAACUUCCAGCUUGGAUGGGAGAAAGCUUGUUGUCUUUGGUCAUUCUUAAUCUUCACUCCAAUAAGUUUCAUGGAUGCAUACCACUACAACUAUGCCGGUUAGCACAUAGUCAAUUCCUUGACUUGUCUCAAAACAACAUUUCUGGAAAUAUUCCUCGAUGCCUUUAUAAUUUGACUGCCAUGGCUUUUAAAAAUUCAAAUAAUAAGCCAACUAAUAUAGCUGAUUUAGUAUAUUUGGAUGGCACUCAAGUUACAUUUCUAAAUGGGGGUCGGGUCAAUUAUAUUUUCAAUACAAAUGUUAGUUGGAAAGGACACUCUUACAUCUAUGGAAAGAAUUUUGGACAGAUGAGAAGUAUCGAUCUCUCAAGUAAUAAAUUAACUGGAGAAAUUCUAGUAGAGAUUUUCAGCCUUACAGAGUUGAAAACAUUGAACUUAGCAGGAAACACAUUGACAGGAUUACUUCCUCAAGAAAUUGAUCAUUUGGAAUAGAUAGAAUCCCUAGAUUUGUCAAGAAAUCAACUUUUUGGUUCAAUUCCAGUUAGCAUUGCUGAUUUGAAUUUUUUGAGUUUCUUGAACUUGUCAUAUAACAAAUUGUUAGGAAGAAUUCCAAUAGGCCCUCAAAUCCAGACCGCUAACCCUUCUGAAUUCAUUGGUAAUCUUGCACUCUGUGGCCUUCCACUUACACUGAAGUGUCCAGGAGAUGUGGAACCAAAUGCUGAGUCAACUAAUGGUGGCAAUACAAACUAUCAAGAAGAUGAAGAUGAAUUUUGGAAAUGUCUUUAUAUGGGCAUGGGACUUGGAUUCACGGUGGGUUUUUGGGGAGUUUGUGGCUUUUUAACGUUGAACUGUUCUUGGAGACAUCUAUAUUUCCGGUUGUUGAGCAACUUGAAUGAUUGGUUCUACGUGACAAUGAUACUGAAUAUUGCAAGAUUGCAAAGGAUGUUUCAGACCUAAUAAGGCAACUGCUCUGUCAUUAAAGGGUUGAGAAGAUUUUUUGAUUUAGAUAUAUCUCUAAUUAUUUCUUUUCUUGAAUUGGUUUUAAUUUUUCAAACUAAUGUUUGUUAUUUUACCUUGUGUAGGUCUCGACAAUAAGAAAAAAAAAAAUACUUUGUCCAAGGUUACGUGUGUGACGCCUAUGAUUUUACAUGCUUUCUUAUGUUCAUGGAUCAACAUUCACGCUACGGUGAAAGCUUAAUUUGGAUUACACUUGAUCUUAAAAUUCUAGUAAAAUGGGAUUGUGUAACUUUUUUUAAAACAGUUUGUGUGGUAGGACUUGGAAUUGCCUGCUGGUUUGUUCGGGGAAUUUAUGUUUUUGUUGGGCCCAUAUUAAACUUCAUUAUCAUUGAUAUUAUCACCUAUGGAUGAGAUUUUGAAAGUUUCUCUCUCUCUCUCUCUCUUUUAAUAUUUCGAAUAUGAAUUGUAUAUUCUACUUUUCUUUUCUUUUCUUAUUUAUUUUUUCCAAGUUUUUUUUUUUCCAGAUUUUUUAGUUGUAAUCCUUUCAGGCCAGCUACCACAGUGAUUUUUUUUUUCUCUGAAUACCUAGCAUUAGCAUUAUGAAGUCGCUUUAAGGCCCAUUUGGAUUGAGAGGAGAGGGAGAGGGAGUGGAGAGGAGUAGAGUAAAGUUGACUGAAAAUAUAAUAAUUUUAAGCCAAUUCUAAUUUACUAUACUCUACUCUACUCCUCCUCAAUUCAAAUGGACCUUAGUUUCUCUUUGCUCUCAAUGUCACUAGAAAUAAAAAAAAGUGUCCUGAAAAAAUCAGGGAUGGGAAGUUUGACUUCAUUAGUCACAAGAAAUGGUGAAAGCAAAAGAGUUUAAAUUUACUAAGCUAAGGAUUAUGGUAAAAAUCACUCUUUUAUAUACUCUGAUAAAAUAUAUUAGAUUUAUUUUAUAAAACAAUAAAGACUAAUAGGACUAAGUUCUAAGUGAAAUCUAGUGCCAUUAAAUCAUAGGAAGCAGAGUAAUACAUGAUUAUUCUAAGUUCCAUUGCAAAAAAAUAAAUAUCGAUUCCUAUGUAACCUAAACAGUGAACAGAUAGAUGGGUUAAUUACUUCAUAGUUUAUACAGUAAAAUGGAUCGAAGCCUAAGUAAAUAUUGUAAACACCAAAUAAAAUGAGGACUAUGCCUUAAGGAUCAAAAUAAAUGAAAUUUGUAUAAACAAGAUUAAUCAAAGUCAUAGAUUAUUGGCAUAAACACCUUACAAAGUCCAACAAACUAACGAAAUCUACUAAGGAUUACAAUUGGAUACCAUAUAUUUGUCAUCUUGCAAAUUGGGUCCUGAUUUCCCAAAAUGGUUGAAAAAUCAAAGAAGGCUCACCAACCUUGAUAUCUCCGGUACCAGAAUUUCAGAUACCGUCCCUUUGUGGUUUUGGGACCGACCUUCUGAUUUAUUCUAUUUAAAUCUUUGCUGCAACCAAAUUAAGGGCAAGUUACCAAAUCUAUCAAUUAAAUUUUUAGCGAUUCCUGCUUCUGCCUUUGAUUUGAGCUCAAACAAUUUUGAGGGCCUACUGCCACUAGUUUCUUCUAAUAUAUCAACAUUAAAUCUCUAAAACAAUAAAUUUUUGGGACUAAAUUCUUUUCUAUGCACGGCUGGGGUGAGAUCAUUGAGUUACCUUUAUCUCUCAAACAACAGGCUAUUUGGAGGCCUCCCCAAUUGUUUAAUGCAGUGGCUAUUUGUGCAAGAUUACGUGUGUGACGUGCCUAUGAUUUUACAUGCUUUUCUUAUGUUCAUGUUCAUGGAUCCACAUCCAUGCUACGGUGGAAGCUUAAUUUGGAUUACUCUUCAUCUUAAAAUUCUAGUAGAAUGAGAUUGUGUGUUUUCUUUUUCUUUUUUGAAAUCAGUUUCUGUGUGGCAGGACUUGGAAUUGCUUUCAAUAAAUUUCUUGUACUAAAAUCCAUAAAUAACCAAGUAUCUUCAGAAUAUAUUUUAAUUAAUUGGGCCCCAAUAUUAAACUUAAUAAUCACCCAAGGAUGGCAUUUCAAAAGUUUUUUUUUUUUUUGUUGAAUAUUUCGAAAAUGGAUUGUACAUUAUACUUUUUAAUUAAAUUUUUUUUAUAAAGUUUUUCUUCCAAUUUUCAAGUUGUAAUGUUUUAGUCUUUAGCUAGCUAGCACAGUGUUGGUCCAUUCUUUAGACUAGCACCAAGUUAGGCCAGAUCUUCGGAAUGUGGGUUCCAGUUAGCUCAACUGGUAAAAUCUCUGAUGAUUGUAUAAGAGAUCUGGGGUUCAAUCCCCGCUUACACCAAAAAUUGAUUGGUGUCUUGGUCUGAUAAUAAAGAGUAAUUAUCAAGAGCGAACGCCAUAGGUUGAAACUCUCUCAAAAAAAAAAAAGAUCUUCGGAUUUUCAAGUUGUAAUCCAAUUACUUAAGUAUUUAUCUGCAUUUUAGUAAUAUACAUUAAAAAUAUAUUACUGCAACAUUUUUUUUUGAGAGAGUUUCAACCUAUGGCGUCCACUCUUAAAAAUAGCUCUUUAAUUAUUAUCAGACUAAGAUACCAAUCAGUUUUUGGUGUAAGCGGGAAUUGAAGAGAAAUCCAAGUCCUACAAGUUGUGAUUGGUGGAACAUAUAUAAAGUAAAACAUAAAGUGGAAUACAAAAUGUACUACAGAGGAUUUGUAUUCGAUGUAGCUGCACUUGAAAAUAUAAAUAUAGCUACCAAUCUUUCUUCUAAAAGUCUCCCUUACCACACUAGCUGUUCCCAACAUAUAUAAUCGAAUGUCAAGCAAAGUUUAGGUAUGAUUUCAACCAUGUGAUUGCAUGAUAUGACAAAUGGAAUGAAGAAGAUCUUAUCUUCCCACGAUUAUAAUUAAAUUAAACUAUGUAACUCAUUGAUUCAUAAAACUACAUGGAUGAAAUUAAUUAACCCAUGAUAUCACAAUUAAAAUUUAGAAAAUGUUAAAGUUACUAUCAAUUGUACUAUGCAAGUUUUACAAAUGCAACAAUGGAUGUUAAAAUAAUCAACCGAAAGUGAAAGAAGAAGAAGAAGAGAAAACCGAAGAACUCAGCGAAAAAGCUCUCCGCGACCCUCUAAAUCGAAAUCAAUCCACUAGAGAUUAAAGUUGGAGUGCAUGAAUAACAAAAGACCCUCCAAGCCUAGUCUACCCCAUGUACUUGAGCCCUCCAAGCUCCUACUACCAAUUGACUUCUUGGAGCCUUAUCUUCUCUAGCUUUCUAGAUCCCUUUAUUCAGCCUGAUUACAUCUGCCAAUAAAUGGCUCCUUCCAAUGCUUGCCAAUAGCACCAAAUUCUCACUUUACACUCAAAAUGGGUGUGGUAAAUGUUUGGGCUAGCAACCUCUCAAGGAUAUAGAGAUGGAGAGGUAGGAGUUGAGGAAAACCAUAAGAAAAUGUGUAGAUGAUUGUGGGUAUAACAAUCUCUAACUCUCAAGUGUAUUUUCUAGGGUUUUCUCCCUGAAAAACACUCCUUACAAUUUGUGGGUAAUAAUGGUAUAUAUAGUGUAUGUAAAGACUUGGUAAAGCAAUUCAUAAUUUUUUUGCCAAACAGAGAGUUUUGCGAGUACUUCACGGGAUGGCCUUUAAAGCGAGACACUUGCGAAAAUCUCCAGCCUGGCAUGACUCUUCAUCUUCCAGUCAUGUGCUCCACAUGAGGCUCUUUCAUGGGUCAGCUUCUCGUGAGACAUUCACGAAAACCACUUGUUCAUUCUUUGAAGCUUGAGUCUUCACACUCUCUCACACUCAUCCCUUACAAUUAGAAACCCACAUACAUACAGAGAAAAAUGAUUGAAGAAAUUACAAUAAAAUUUCGUACGGAAUUAAAGCCAAUAAAAAAUAGUUGUAAAUCACAACUUUAUAAAAUCCAAACUCCCCCAAACAUUAGAGGGUAGAAUCCAAAUUUUGAAAUUUCAGAGUGUAAAAUCCAAUCACCCUCAAACUUUAGGGGUGUAAUUUGCAAUUUACCCUAAUAUUAAUGGUGGGUUAUUAAAAUGCCUAGACCUAUCAGAUAACCUAUUAUCCAAACGACUUGCUAAUUGUCUUAUGCAUUAGCCUAACCUAGUUAUUUUUAGUUUGCUGGCAACAAUUUUUAUGGGGAAGUUCUAAGCUCUUUGGGUUCACUGUCUGAGCUCAAAAUGUUGGAUCUGCAUAUUACUUGCCUUUGCCUUUGAGAAAUUUCAGUUCCUUGAUGAUUAUAGAACAAGGAGAGAAGAUUCUUUGGAAAAGUACCAGUAUAUAUGGUUUGGGAAGAUCUGCCAUAGUUAAUUGUUCCAAUCCUACGUUCCAAUAAGUCCUAUGGAAGCAUACCAUUGCAUUUGUGCUUUCUCUGAAAGAUUUAAAAAUUUUGGACCUCUCUUUAAAUAACACUAGUCGCGAACCCGCGCGUUGCGCGUGAUAAUUAUUUUUAUGGUGGUUUUCUUAAAUUUUUUUUUUUUUUUUUUUUUUUUAUAAAAUUGAAACAAAUCUAAUAAUGACUAAUGUAUUUCGUAAUUAUAUUUUUAUUUAUUAUAGGAACAAUCAUAAAUGUAAUAUAGAAACAAUCCAAAACAUCAAAAAAAACUUAUACUUAAAAAAAUUAAUAAAACUUAACAAUGAUUAAUUGAACCAAUAUUAGGAUAAAAUUUGAUUCUCAAAAAAAAAAAAUAUAUAUAUAUAUAUAUAUAUAUAUAAACUAAAUANUAAAAUUUUGUUUUUGAUAAUUUAUUAUGGUUAUUUUCUUUGUAGAAAUUAUAAUUUUGGCCACCCAAAACAUAUUAUCAAAUAAACAAUUAUUAGCAAAAUCUAAGAAUUAAAUUUCUAUACAUGCAUUGUUAUAAAAUAAUAAUAAUUAAAAUAAAAUUGCAAAAGUUAAAAUUUGUCACAUAUCCGAUUAUUUUUGUUUGGCUAACCUUUGCUUUUCUUUAAAUAAAUGGCAUUAUAGAGUACUUUGCCCACCACAAAGGAUUACAAAAUAAACAAAAAUUAGUAAAGUCUCAUAGUUUAACAUCUAAAUUGAGCACUAUAAAAAAUUAUGCUAUGUAAUAGAAUAAAUAGCAAAUUAUUCAAAUCAUGCUAUGUAAUAGAAUAAUAUUAUAUUUUUAUACUAUAUUUAAUUCUUUAGAACACAAUAAGAUAACAUUUAACAAUAAAAGAGAAUUAAAAAAAAAAAAAAACUAAAUCGCACUAACCCAAAAUAGAGUUUUAAAGAAUAUAAAAAAUUAUCAAUCUAAAGUAGAGAUGCAAGAAAAAAAAAAAAAAAAUUCCUCCAAAAAAUUUAGAGAGAGAGAGAGAGAGGGAGAGAGAGGGAACCUUUUUUUUUUUUUUUUUAGGGAAAACUGUGCAUAGAAUAGAAGAAAUAGUGACAAAUUUAUAGUAAGAUGCUGUGAAUAAGAAGAGACAAAAAUAAAGGAAGAUGAAGAGAAAGAGGAAGAAUGAUAUUAAUGUAGAGGUUAGUGGAGAGAUGAAAAGGUAAGGGAGGGAGAAAGAUUAAAGAAGUAGUAGGGAGAUGAAAUGGUAAGGGAGAGAAAAAGGUUGGAGAAGUGUAAUAUUAAAAAAAUAAAUGUUAAAAACAAUUAUAGAAAAAUUGGAAAAAAAAAUCCUAAAGCUUGAAAGGCUUCAACAUUUUUUUCCCCCUUUAAACUGAAAAGACUCACACAAAACUUUAAAACUGAACUGAAAAGGCUUUGGAUUGGGCUUGAUAGUGGAACUAAAUAAAUAAGAGGUGGGAUGGGUUAAUUUUACAGAUUUAUUAUAGGGUAAUAGUGAAAGAAUUAUUAUAAGGUGAUAGUGAAAGUAAAUAAAUAAGUAGUGGUUUGCAUUUAUAAGGCUGAAAAUUUUAAAAACCAUUUUAAAAUUGUAGGACAAAUUAUAUUAUAAAAAAAAAAAAUGAUGUGGCAGCUGAUGUGGCGCAAGGUGAGAGUAGCAGCAUUAAACGAUACGCUUCAGCUUUUAGUAAUAUAUAGAUGUGGGAGAGCACAUCAUGCUUUUUCAAGGUUAGACUAGGGAUCCCCUCAAUUUUAAAAUUGGUUUGUUAUUUAUUCCCUUUCCAUCAAGGAGUAUCACAUACAGUUAAUUUUCAACUAUUAAUUCAUCAAAAAAGUCUAUUUACCAAAUUCUGUUUAUAAAUAAACUCCUAAGAGGAUAGGUCUUUAUCUAUCAUUCUCAUUAUCAUAUAAAAAAACAUAAAACUAAAUAUGUAAUAAUUAAAUUAUUAGGAUAAACUCUAUAUAGACAGCAUUAAGUCUUUUAAUGAAAAAAAAAAAAAAAGAUCUUACAAUUCAACUAAAGAAUCCCUAAGCAAGCCCUUUAGGGCUAUCACUUUAUCCCAAUGUCCGCGCAUUCACCACUUGCUGCAGCCCAACUCAUAAUCAUAAAACUGCGAAAUCGUCAAAAAAGGUAAAUCCCAGUUCUUCUGUUUUAGUCUAAUUUCAUUGAUGCUUUUGUAGCAAAAUGGUGUCACAUGCCCUUUUGUUAGUCGAUUUGUUUUUACGAACACAACAAAAUUUCACAACAUUUUCAUAGCAAGCUGAUGUGUUAAUCUAUUAUAUGUUAAAAUAAAAUUAUUUUAUAAUGCAUCACAACUCGAAACAAAAGUGUUGUGGAGCUAUACUUUCUUUAGUUUUAGUAUGCCUUAACUGAUAGCGUCAGAAUAACAUUGAUUCUGACGUAAUCUUAUCAUUGAUUGAGACUAAAAUCAUGGACAACAUAAUUGUCCAUGAUUUGUGCUACAAAAAAAAUAAUUGUCCAUUAUUUUGGUCUCAAUCAAGAUCCUUUGUCCCUGUUAGGUCAACUAUUUAAGUCUCCAUAUUCAAGGCACAUGUAUGUUCACAUGUAAAGAAAAUUGCAUUUUGUAUACUAUUCUUUAUAUUUCACAUUAUGCCCCAUCAAUCAAUCAUGAUAAAGGAAAAUUAGCAACCGAAGAGAAGCACAACUUCAACUUUGGGUUCAACAUUUUCCUUUCAAAUUUUUUUUUUUCUAUACGGUUUCCCUUGCCUUUUUUCUUCCUUUCUUUUUGAUCCCUUGCCUACUUUUAUUUUUUGAGUCCAAAUGCAAAUUUUCCAAGUGCUGUUGCUUGGGUGGGGAGUAGUUUAAGCGGUAAAAGUGUCAUUUUUCUGUUUCUUAAACUGCAUACUUAGUAUUUACAAUGAUGCCAAACCAAGUUAUUCUAGCAUCAAUUCUUCUACAAUCACACACUUUGCCACAACUUUUAUCACAACUUGCACGUGUUAACUUGUGAUUGGAUCAUGUCACUUACACGUGGAUCCAUCCCUGGUACUUGGUAAAAAGUAAUCCAAUCCCCACUUAACACGUGCAAGUUGUGAAAAAGUUUGGCAAAGUAUGUCCCUAGAAUUUACCUUCUAGAAUCUCAAACCAUCCAUUUAUAGUCUUGUUCAGAGAUGCUAUUUUGUACUUCUAAUUUAUUGAAGUUCCUCUUCAUUGAUUCUUUUAAGGAAAAAAAAAAAGGUUUAUCUUGAUUGAAAGUGUAAAAGGCUAUACAUUUACAUUAAAAACUCCUUGGUGCAUUUGGUUGUUGCAGUAGGGGACAGUCCAUGGAACAUGAAUCUGAAAGGGAUUCUAGAAGAAAGAAAAGACUUUCUCUCGAUGGCGAAAUGGAGAGAAAAAUUAAGGAUCUCUAUAAGAAGUAAGUGUGCUUUAAUUUAGCUGUUUUAUUUCUUACAAAUGUUCCUAAACCAGCUCUACGAUUAUUGAAACUAGCUGAUAUCCCGCGCGAUGCGCGGUGCAUUUUCAAAAAUUUUGUGAGAAAUUAUCUUUAACUCAUUGGGUUCAUCAAUAAUAUUAUUUUUAGUUACUAUAGUCACAGGUAAUCAACAAAGUUUGCUAAUAAAACUAAAUAUAAACUAAACCAUAGUCUCUUGUCAUAUUUUCAAUUCCAAAACUGGGUGUGCUUUGUUAUGUAGUGUAAGAAGGGGAUGGAGACAAAUACAUUUACAAUGUUUGAGAAAUUAUAGACAUAAACAUAAAAGAAAAGAAGUACCACCAUCCAUGAUGUUUAUUAAUUAGAAAUAAUAUAUAUCUAUUCAUUACAAUUCAACCCAUUACCCAUGAUGUUUACAAUGAAUAAAUAAAUACAUCAAAUCUCCUCUUUUUCAUUUUUUACAUAGUUACAUUUGGUUAUCUUAAAAAUGUAAGAUGUAAACAAAUUAAAGGGAUAAAACACAAUUACAAAAUAAAAAUUGUAAAACAUGAAAUGAAGAAUAUUCCUAGCAAUUGAAAAAGUGAAACUUGUAGAGAUUUAUAAAUGCCAAACACCUUUUCUCAUUACGGGCAAAUCAAAUCCUAACCAACCCACCAAAAAUAUAUUAGUCACAUAAAAAUAACAUAAAAAUGAAAGAAAUAAAAGGAAAAAUUGGCAUCUCAAAGUUAAAUUUCCACUAUGCUAAUAAAUUGGUGAUUUUUGAAAAGGAAAGAAGAGAGAACAAUUGGAUAUGCUUGGAUUCCUUGCAAUUGCCCUUGUCAUUGCUUGUGAUUAAUCACGCAAAGCUAGAAAUCAUAUUGAAAAAUUUAAAAUUUUAAAAAGGAAAAAAAAUAAACAUAAAAAGGAGAAACUUAAAAGAAAAAAGAAGUGAUGGUAGAGGGCAUACUAUAACUGUGAUUUAGUUUUUUUUUUAUUAUUUUUUUUAAAUAAUUUGAGAAGAAAUUCAUUGCAUAAAAGAAAAGACAAAGCAACAAAUGGCCAUUAGACUAAGCUUUAGCAAUGUUAGCAAGACAAUCAGACACGUCCUUAAACUAAAUGGAAGACUAUCUAGAAAUAGUGCAGCCUUGUUAGCUAACUGGUGUGCAGCCUUGUUAGCUUGAGGUUGAUGUGAUCAAAUUUCCAUCACAGAUUUCCAUGCUUGUAAAUUUGAUUAAGCAAGCUUUGCAUCCUCUUUGAGAUGGCUGAUCAUUUGAUGUAUUUUCUGCAUGAUUGGUGAGAGCAUUUAUAGUGAUAAAGAGUCACUUCGAAAAUUGUGAGCAUUUAUAAUAGUGAUUUAGUCUAGGCUGGAAGUAUGCUAAGAUAUAGUUGUGUAAAGAAGAAAAGAGAAGGGAAUUGAAAAGGGCAGGCAAUUGAAGGGUCAGAAAUUCUGAAUAGCCAAUUGAAUUGAUGGGAGGCAGUUGAAAGGUUUGAAAUUCUGAAUGGCUAAUUGAAUUGAUGAGAGAGAGAGAGAGAGAGAGAGAGAGAGAGAGAGGACUACUGUUAAAUGAUAAGGUGUAAAGAUGGCUAAGUUAUCAAAGAAGGGCGCCACUUGGCAAGACCUAAUGCUCUCUUGCACGAGGUCUCUGUUUUUAUAUAUAUAUUGAUUGAUUGAUGAUUAUACCUGAUACUAUUUGAAGCAUACGAAACGUUUGAUGGGUAUUGUCGAUUGUGUAUUGUUUCAUUUUCUUCUGAUUUCUAAACUUUUUGCUCAAGUAUUUUCUGAAAAAAUGUGGCCUUUUUAGAUUCAAAGAUGAUCGGCAUUGUAGUCGUCUUAUUGCUGAAGUUCUAGAACCUGAUGGUAAAGUUUCACCAGCACAAAUUUCUAAUAAGCUUAGACAGCUAGGACUGAAAGUUGCAGCAAGGAAAAAGAUGCGCUAUGAUGAUGACCAUGAUGGAGAUGGAAAAGCGGUGAAAAAAGUUAGUAAUAACCAUAACUCAGAUGAUAUGAAGGGAAGUUUAUUGAGGCCUUUGUAAGUACUAUAAGAAAUUUGUACUUUAUGAAUGUUAUAGAUAAUAUGUGCGUUGUAUAAGAUUGUAUUCUAAAGCGGUGGCUGAUAAUGCAAAGCAUUAUCCACAUAGCUUCUAGUGUUAUGUUUUUAGUCUGAAAUCUUUGUUUAUUCAUUUUCCCUUCUAUUUUUUGGAAAAGUCCCUGAUACCUCCCUUACUAUAUUUCUAUAGGGACAAAAGGAAAAGAGUUUCUGCUGCACAAAUUUCUAAUAAGCUUAGACAGCUAGGACUGAAAGUUGCACCAAGGAAAAAGAUGCGCUAUGAUGAUGACCAUGAUGGAGAUGGAAAAGCGGUGAAAAAAGUUAGUAAUCUCCAUAACUCAGAUGAUAUGGAGGGAAGUUUAUUGAGGCCUUUGUAAGUACUAUAAGAAAUUUGUACUUUAUGAAUGUUAUAGAUAAUAUGUGCGUUGUAUAAGAUUGUAUUCUAAAGCAGUGGCUGAUAAUGCAAAGCAUUAUCCACAUAAAAGCUUCUAGUGUUAUGUUUUUAGUCUGAAAUCUUUGUUUAUUCAUUUUCCCUUCUAUUUUUUGGAAAAGUCUCUGAUAAGUCCCUUACUAUAUUUCUAUAGGCACAAAAGGAAAAGAGUUUCUUCUUUUAGUGAAGAUCAGGAAGAUAUGAUCAGAGCUCUAUAUGAGAAGUGAGUGUUGCGUAGCUUGGAUUCUAGUUACAAUAUUAGAUUAAGUCUCCUUUUACAUCAAAUAUGCUAAAAAGUUGAUAAAGAUGUGAUGGAAUAUGUUAUUUUGUUAUUAUUUGAAUUUUUAAAUAAAAAAAGUUUGGGCUUUGCUUGAUCCUCACAGAUUCAAAGAGCAUAAGAGGUGUAGCUACAUGAUUGCAAAUGCAUUGGAUGCAGAUAAUAAAUUCACAGCUGUUCAAGUUUCUCAUAAGCUUAAGCAACUUGGUUUACGAGUUCCUCAACAGAAGAAGUUUGAAGCCAACAUGCUUAUAAAAAAUGAGAAUUCUAAUAGUUUGUUCACAGACAAAGCACAUGACCCUGAUGAUGAAACAUUGUUAUCGUUAUUGAAUAGGUAAUAAUAUAUUCAUAGGCAGUAUCCUGUGCUAUUCAUAUUUGGAUUUUGUUGCUCUUCUUAGAUUGAAACAUUAGGGUUUCUUGAUGUGCACCCCUGUAUACUUAUCCCAGUUAUUAAAAUCACUCUUUUUGGUAUUAAGUUCAGUAAGUAUUCCAAACAGUUCCGUACAUUCCUUUUAAUGGGUUUGGUGGCAUGAGUCAAGCUUUAAUUUUUGGGAACCCAAUCAAUGUGAGGUUGUGAAUAGGUGGGAUACUCAUUUGAGAAGUAUGUUGCUUUGUCAUGUUCUUGACUUAGCUUAGUCAUCAUUUAGUUAUUGCAGGUUGCUUUCACAUUUCUUUUAACUUCUCCACUAUGUUUGGUAUUAUAAUUCUUAAUAUGAAAUUGGGCAUUUUCACAUUCCAUUGACGCAAGUUGUUAUUUUCUUGCUUAACAUCUCAAGAUGCUUUUACAAUUUUGUUUUGUUUCUUGUGGUAGUAGUUUCAAGUCUGUAAUUCUGUUGAUCUUUGAAUCGAUCUUUUUAUCAUACUGCUCAUCCAUCCAGGCAUCAUCAUUUAUCUCCACAUUUCUGAACCUUCCUCUUUGUCUUUUUCAUUUAUAUGUUUAUUUUUUAAAAUUUCCCAUCAGUCAAACCAUAGGGCAUGGCUGGUUUGUCAGAUAUUUGGUUUUCUCUUACUGAUGGACAUGUGCAAUUGCCAAAAUCAUCCCUUCAUUAUAUUUGUAUUUUCUCUGACUUUUUCCAUACAUAUAUGAAUUUUCAUUUUCAUUUUUCCAAGUUCAGACGAAUUUGAAAUCUCUUGUCAAAUAUUGCUGGAUUUCCUGAUGCUACUGAUCUAUAUAUAUAUAUAUAUUAAAAAACUGUAGGCGCAAAAAGGAGAAUGAGAGGCUAUUUGGUGAGCAAUUACCAGAACAAGUUGAAGGAUUAUUGCCCGAAGAUGAUUCGGAUGAUGAACUCCUAAGCUCUGUUCUUAAGUAAAUCUUUGUCUCUCUCUCAUCACAAAGAAUAAAUAUUUAUAGUUGUUGGAGCUUGAUUGUGUAUAUAUUAUAUUGGGUAUUUAUAUCUGGAAGCUGUUACCUUUCCUUAUAAUGGACUCAUAUCUGGGAAUCAUUGUUUAUUUGAAAGGAAUCUAUGAACUGUAUUUGAAAUAUUCAGUGUUUUUCCUUAAAAAUGGCAUAGUUGUUAUCUCCACUUUUGUUUAAAUUUUGCUUGGUAAGCAAAAGCAGAACUGCCUGUCAUAUUGUUUCUUAUUCUCUUAUCUUUCAUAGUUUAAAGUUUAUUUAUUUUUAUGACUGGUACUUACCCAAAUAAUGAUAAAUUUCACUUUUGUUUAUUAAAUUUGCAUAUAUGGUGUCAAAUAUAUUUCUGAAAAUCAAGAAUUCUCUUGCCUAGUCCCACUGUAGAACCAAGAAAAAAAUUCCAACUAAUCUGCUUCGUUAUUUGUUUACAUCUACGAUGUCUCUUGGCUUUAAUAUUACAUUGAUUUUUGUGGUCCGUAGCACUGCUGCUAUUUGUGGCCAUCAACAUGAACCUUGCACUGCCAGUUCCAUUGUCUCAUCCAUAUUUAUGAUGAAUUCUUUUAAACUUAUAUUAUCAAUUUUAUGCAUGGAGUCUAUGUUAGUGGUUUCAUUGUUUGUCCUAUCAUAAAACUUUUUCUUGGAAUUGUCCUUAGCCUGGGAACAGCUCUUCUUAUAUGUAAAUGGUACACAAUUUUUUGAAUAUAUGCAUGGUAUCUAUGUUAUUGGAUCCAUCAUUUGCCUUUUUCCCGUGGACUGGGAACAAGUCUCAUGUAUUCGAAAAUGGGACGCAUUAAUUGGACUGAGACUCAAGUUGAUAUCAGGUGAUGAUAUUAGUAAUAUCUGCAUAGCACAACUUUUUUUUUUGAGAAUGUAUCUGCAUAGCACAACUUAAUUAUGCUGCAUCACGUUGAUUGGAAUUCUGUUACUUUUGAAUGAUCUAAAAGUUCCUUUGCAUUAUGUAGAAAACAUUGGAAAUCAUAAUAGAAUCCUUCAUUGUAUUAUAACUGUUUAAAUGCUAAAUAGCUGCAGCACUCUAAACAUGUCAUUAAUUUUCAUAAUUUUAUACCUGUAUCCUUUGUGGUUUCCUUUUUGAAGAUAGUACUGUUUGGAACAUAAUUAUCUAUAUAUUCAUUUACUCCGUAACUCUAAAUUAGAGUAUCCAUGUGUUAAAUCUAAUCAUAUCACUGAGUGGCAACAACUUUUCCUGUUAUGUUUUCUUUCUGUCCUUUGUUUAUAAUUAAUUAAUCUAUUGGAUACAGGAAAACUAGAAGGCCGCUUCCUCAGUCAAAGGAUGAGAAGCUCACAGCCAUCUCAAUUCAGGGAACAAAAAUUCAAAAUGAUCCUGGAAAUAGACCUUCUGAAGUUGUCAAAAUACAGUAUGUUGCUCAUCCUCCACGAUUCUUGCUAGUUACUACAUUAUUCAAUUUAUUCUACAAUCCAUAUAAUGCUGAAUAUUCAGGUUGAACUUGAAAUGUUAAUCUCACUUUUUUCCAUUUCCAAGUAGUUACUCCUACAAUUGAACAUGUUGGAAACGAGGGAGAUUGAUGCUGUUGAAUGUUUAGUGGAUCUAUUUAGUUGUGAUGCUGAUGUACUAUGUUUGAAGUAUUUGCAUACUUUGAGAUGAAUGACAAAUUGAUAAUAGGCUUAAAGUCUAGAAAAUACUUCCUAGUCCUUUGGAAAUUGUUAUAUAUUUUCUUGUGCUGAAAUGGCAUCAUUAUCAUUUUCAAUUUUGCAGAAACCUUUUUUGGCAUCUGUUAUGCCCACUUCUCUGGGAUGCCUGGAUGUAAAUAACUUUCAAUUGACCCAUUUUUCUUGAUGAGUAAAUAGUAAGUUUACUGCCAAAAAUAAAAAAUAAAAUCAAGACACAUGACAAAGCCCUCAAACAUGCUUCUUCAGGACAUCCCCUAAAGCACCCAAAGAAACGAGUCUUACAACUGGAGAGACAUUGGAACCUAGCCUAGAAAGGACCUUACACGGUGCAAGAGGCUAGGAAACAAUUAACCAAAGGCACAAAAGUGACUAACAAGAAAAACAAAUAAAAGAGAAGAAAACAUGACAACCUGAGAACUCAGGCUACAAACAAACCAUGAGUGACCUUCCGGACCAAAUGUGGCUCUUAUGAGCGUAUCAAACAAACUCGAAGAAGGUGGACUUUUAAAAACUUUGUAAAUCCCAUUCUUGUUGGAGCUUGACUGCAUAUUUCAGGUGGAAAAGGAAUAUCACUCUUCCAAAGUUGUUGAAAGACUAGCAAAAGCUUUCUGCUAUGUCAAUUUUAGAGUAUAUAUCUAUUGAAAGGACUAAUUCGAUGGAGGAAAUAAAGUGAACAAAAAAGGUGAUAUAAAGUUGGGUCAUUUGAGCCUCUUAGAUUUUUAUUUGGAUUUAAUCAUGAGUUUCAGACAGUUUACUACAAAGACUUGCAGGAAUUAUGCCAAAUUAAAUUCUCAAGGCCUCAUGAGAUACAUGAGACUCUGGGUUCAAAACUCCUAGUUUGCAUCUUGGGGCCUCUCCCAAUAGAUUCCUCCCUAUAAUUAUCUAGUAUGUGGGAUUAGUCAAGUGCUCGAAGUACUUUGGACACCCGUGUUAGCAGUGUUACUUAGAAUUUUACAAAUUGAUAUCCUUUUUAAGCUGUUAUGUUUGGAAAGCAGGGUUGUGUUUAUCAUGCUGGCUUCUUUUCAAAGGGAAUUUGUACUAAUAAAGAAUAACCUCUGUUAUUUACUUGAUGUUGGUUGCACUGCUGAAGCUGAAGUGACUAGCAUUGGCAGUGGAAGUUUGUUGAAUGUUGCACCUGUGAACCAUAUAGAUAAUUUGUCACAACAAGAAGUUGAUAUUUCGGCAGCUUUUGGGGAUGCAGUGGCUCCCAGUUCAUUUCCACAGAGUAAUCUAAUAAGAAGGAUUGGCAGUGGAAAUCGUUUGGAUGUUGCACCUGUGAACGGUUUAGAUAAUUUGUCAGAUCAGGUAGUGGAUGAGGAAUUGGAAAAUGCAAUUGAUGAAUUAGCUCCUAGUGCAUCUCCAAAGAGUAAUGUAAUGAGAAGGAAGUUGAGAAUGGUGCUUGAUCUUGGGGAUGGCGACUGA
rnacentral:sRNA from 1 species